rnacentral:tRNA from 1 species
GCAUCUGUAGUUUAACAGGUAAAACAGCUAGCUAGAAUUGUGAGUUCGAUACUCACCAGAUGCA